CAACAUCUCUCACCUUCAUUUUCAUUUUCCGAUUGCGAUGAUUUCAUGGUAUCAGAGCGGAAAAUCUUCCAACGAUCCUCUGUCAUUUGUUAUCAACUCCGUCAGAGUUGUAUUGAAGAUUUCUUUUUGACAUCGGUGAGGGAUUUUGCUGUUGACAAACCCUAUAUGUAUCGAGCGGUUAAUCGGAACUUUUACUGCUAUAUGAUGGUUUGAUUCCCUUGGUGGACGUUUUGGGUAACUUUCUGAUGUCCUCGACCUAAUUUCGGUAAGUUUCUAGAUUCUAGGGUUUCUGCUGUUUGGAGUUAGGGUUUUCUCUGUCAGUUGAAGGCCAUUCUUCUCCGGUCGCGAAGAAGGCGGGUAAAUCAGUUCUUGUUCUAGGUGCUAUAUACUUUGCAUGUGGUUUUGAUUCAACUCUAGCUUUGUAAAUUGUCUACCGAGUGUUUUUUUAUUUCAAACUCAUUGUUGUUCAUGACCUCUAACAUAGUGUUAAUACGUCCUCUAUUGACCCUACCAUCCCUCUUUUCGUUUACUCCUUUGAUAUUCCUGGAGUUUCUCUUGUCUCCACUCUCUUCUUGGGUAGUGGUUACGGGGGUUGGAUGAGAAAAAUGAUUGUCGCCCUGUCUGCUAAGAAUAAAAUUGGCUUUGUUGAUGGUACAUGUCCUCGACCAGCCACUAAUGUGGCUGAACAAAAGUUAUGGGACAGAUGUAAUAAUAUGGUAAUCUCCUGGUUAAUUACUUCCUUGACACUAAUGUGGCUGAACGAAAGUUAUGGGACAGAUGUAACAAUUGGUAAUUUCCUGGUUAACUGUUUCAUUAUCCCCUCAGAUAGCUCAGAGUGUGCAGUAUUCUGAUACUGCACAGAGUAUAUGGGCACAGCUCGCACCUAGAUAUGGUACUGCUAAUAGAACCAAAAUUUUUGAACUAAAAAGAGAACUCUCUCAUACUUUUCAAGGUUCUCUAGAUGUAGCAUCAUAUUUUAACAAACUUAAAGGAUUGUGGGAUGAAUUAGGAAAAAUGUGUACAAACCAUGGGCAAAGAUGCAUUUGUCCUGCCAGAAAUGGCAUCAUACAGGAAGANNNN
rnacentral:lncRNA from 1 species